AUCAUUGAUUAGCAUGGUGUUAAUGCACCGGAUCCCAUCAGAAAUACGCAGUUAAGGACGCUUGGGUUAGAGUAGUACUGGGAAGGGUGACCUCCUAGGAAGUCCAAGUGUUGCACACU
rfam:Picea glauca, whole genome shotgun sequence.